GUCGAACGGCAGCACAGCANAAGCUUGCUCUGUGGGUGGCGAGUGGCGGACGGGUGAGGAAUACAUGGGAAUCUGCCCAGUCGUGGGGGAUAACGUAUGGAAACGUACGCUAAUACCGCAUGCGCCCUACGGGGGAAAGCCGGGGACCUUCGGGCCUGGCGCGAUUGGAUGAGCCCAUGUUCGAUUAGCUAGUUGGGGGGGUAAAGGCCCACCAAGGCGACGAUCGAUAGCUGGUCUGAGAGGAUGAUCAGCCACACUGGGACUGAGACACGGCCCAGACUCCUACGGGAGGCAGCAGUAGGGAAUAUUGGACAAUGGGCGCAAGCCUGAUCCAGCCAUGCCGCGUGAGUGAAGAAGGCCCUCGGGUUGUAAAGCUCUUUUGUCCGGAAAGAAAAGCAUUCGGUUAAUACCCGGGUGUUCUGACGGUACCGGAAGAAUAAGCACCGGCUAACUUCGUGCCA
rnacentral:rRNA from 1 species